rnacentral:rRNA from 1 species
GGGCCCGCACAAGCGGCGGAGCAUGCGGAUUAAUUCGAUGCAACGCGAAGAACCUUACCUGGGUUUGACAUCGCCGGAAAUCUCGCAGAGAUGUGGGGUCCUUCGGGGCCGGUGACAGGUGGUGCAUGGCUGUCGUCAGCUCGUGUCGUGAGAUGUUGGGUUAAGUCCCGCAACGAGCGCAACCCUCGUUCGAUGUUGCCAGCGGUUCGGCCGGGGACUCAUCGAAGACUGCCGGGGUCAACUCGGAGGAAGGUGGGGAUGACGUCAAGUCAUCAUGCCCCUUAUGUCCAGGGCUUCACGCAUGCUACAAUGGCCGGUACAAAGGGCUGCGAUACCGUGAGGUGGAGCGAAUCCCAAAAAGCCGGUCUCAGUUCGGAUCGGGGUCUGCAACUCGACCCCGUGAAGUCGGAGUCGCUAGUAAUCGCAGAUCAGCAACGCUGCGGUGAAUACGUUCCCGGGCCUU